rnacentral:rRNA from 1 species
AAUAACAAUGGAUGUUCCUAGUAACGGCGAGUGAAAAGAACAUAGCCCAACUUGAAAAUCUCCCUUUGGAGAAUUGUAGUCUAGAGAAGCGCCCUCUGCGGCGGCCUGAGCCCAAGUCCACUGGAAAGUGGCGUCAGAGAGGGUGAGAACCCCGUCGGCUCUCGGCUUAGCUGCUCCACGAGGUGCUUUCCACGAGUCGGGUUGUUUGGGAAUGCAGCCCAAAAUGGGAGGUAAAUCCCUUCUAAGGCUAAAUACUGGCGAGAGACCGAUAGCGAACAAGUACCGUGAGGGAAAGAUGAAAAGAACUUUGAAAAGAGAGUUAAAAAGUGCUUGAAAUUGUUGAGAGGGAAGCGAUUGGAGGGUGUGGGUGCGCGCAGGCUUAUGCGUCUCUAACGAGCCGCUGUAUGUGCUGCGCGCUGGUCAGCAUGGGUUAGCCGGGCGGGAUAAAAGCGGGGGUUGAUACCCUGUCUAUGCCGUCUGGCUGACCAAGGCGUGAAGGUCGCUUAGCCCCUCGGGAGCUGCGUCCUCAAGAUGCUGGCAGAAGCCCUUCAAUCGGCCCGUCUUGAAACACGGACCAAGGAGUCUAACAUGUAUGCGAGUUGGUGGGUGGAAAACCCAUGAAGCGCAAGUAACCUGACUGGUGGGAUGGCCUGUGCCUGCACCAUCGACCGACCAUGAUCUUCUGUGAAAGGUUUGAGUGCGAGCAUACCUGUUGGGACCCGAAAGAUGGUGAACUAUGCCUGAGCAGGGUGAAGCCAGAGGAAACUCUGGUGGAGGCUCGUAGAUGUGCUGACGUGCAAAUCGCUUUUCGGACUUGGGUAUAGGGGCGAAAGACUAAUCGAACCAUCUAGUAGCUGGUUCCCUCCGAAGUUUCCCCCAGGAUAGCAGGAGCUUAAAUGAGUACCGUCAGGUAAAGCGAAUGAUUAGAGGUUCGGGGGAUGAAACAUCCUUCACCUAUUCUCAAACUUUAAAUAGGCGGGACGCGUCGGAUGCUUAAUUGAUCCGCCGCAACCUAUCAGAGCUCCAAGUGGGCCAUUUUUGGUAAGCAGAACUGGCGAUGCGGGAUGAACCGAUAGUCGAGUUAAGGUGCCCAACUACGCGCUAACCUAGAUCCCACAAAGGGUGUUGAUUGAUAUAGACAGCAGGACGGUGGUCAUGGAAGUCGAAACCCGCUAAGGAGUGUGUAACAACUCACCUGCCGAAUCAAUU